UUUAAGCGUGUAGGUGUGUGUUCCAGGUAAAUCCGGUUCACUUUAACACUGAGGCGUGACGACGAGGCACUACGGUGCUGAAGCAACAAAUGCCCUGCUUCCAGGAAAAGCCUCUAAGCAUCAGGUAACAUCAAAUCGUACCCCAAACCGACACAGGUGGUCAGGUAGAGAAUACCAAGGCGCUUGAGAGAACUCGGGUGAAGGAACUAGGCAAAAUGGUGCCGUAACUUCGGGAGAAGGCACGCUGACACGUAGGUGAAGUGAUUUACUCAUGGAGCUGAAGUCAGUCGAAGAUACCAGCUGGCUGCAACUGUUUAUUAAAAACACAGCACUGUGCAAACACGAAAGUGGACGUAUACGGUGUGACGCCUGCCCGGUGCCGGAAGGUUAAUUGAUGGGGUCAGCGCAAGCGAAGCUCCUGAUCGAAGCCCCGGUAAACGGCGGCCGUAACUAUAACGGUCCUAAGGUAGCGAAAUUCCUUGUCGGGUAAGUUCCGACCUGCACGAAUGGCGUAAUGAUGGCCAGGCUGUCUCCACCCGAGACUCAGUGAAAUUGAACUCGCUGUGAAGAUGCAGUGUACCCGCGGCAAGACGGAAAGACCCCGUGAACCUUUACUAUAGCUUGACACUGAACAUUGAGCCUUGAUGUGUAGGAUAGGUGGGAGGCUUUGAAGUGUGGACGCCAGUCUGCAUGGAGCCGACCUUGAAAUACCACCCUUUAAUGUUUGAUGUUCUAACGUGGACCCGUUACCCGGGUUGCGGACAGUGUCUGGUGGGUAGUUUGACUGGGGCGGUCUCCUCCUAAAGAGUAACGGAGGAGCACGAAGGUUGGCUAAUCCUGGUCGGACAUCAGGAGGUUAGUGCAAUGGCAUAAGCCAGCUUGACUGCGAGCGUGACGGCGCGAGCAGGUGCGAAAGCAGGUCAUAGUGAUCCGGUGGUUCUGAAUGGAAGGGCCAUCGCUCAACGGAUAAAAGGUACUCCGGGGAUAACAGGCUGAUACCGCCCAAGAGUUCAUAUCGACGGCGGUGUUUGGCACCUCGAUGUCGGCUCAUCACAUCCUGGGGCUGAAGUAGGUCCCAAGGGUAUGGCUGUUCGCCAUUUAAAGUGGUACGCGAGCUGGGUUUAGAACGUCGUGAGACAGUUCGGUCCCUAUCUGCCGUGGGCGCUGGAGAACUGAGGGGGGCUGCUCCUAGUACGAGAGGACCGGAGUGGACGCAUCACUGGUGUUCGGGUUGUCAUGCCAAUGGCACUGCCCGGUAGCUAAAUGCGGAAGAGAUAAGUGCUGAAAGCAUCUAAGCACGAAACUUGCCCCGA
rnacentral:rRNA from 3 species